rnacentral:rRNA from 1 species
UAGGGAAUCUUCCGCAAUGGACGAAAGUCUGACGGAGCAACGCCGCGUGAGUGAAGAAGGAUUUCGGUUCGUAAAACUCUGUUGUUAGGGAAGAAAAAAUGUAUAGUAUCUAUAUACAAAAGAGACGGUACCUAACCAGAAAGCCACGGCUAACUACGUGCCAGCAGCCGCGGUAAUACGUAGGUGGCAAGCGUUGUCCGGAAUUAUUGGGCGUAAAGCGCGCGCAGGUGGUUUAGAAAGUCUGAUGUGAAAGCCCACGGCUCAACCGUGGAGGGUCAUUGGAAACUAAUAAACUUGAGUGCAGGAGAGAAAAGUGGAAUUCCUAGUGUAGCGGUGAAAUGCGUAGAGAUUAGGAGGAACACCGGUGGCGAAAGCGGCUUUUUGGCCUGCAACUGACACUGAGGCGCGAAAGCGUGGGGAGCAAACAGG